UCAAUAGGACGCUUCUGUUACUUCUGCUGCUGUGAGCUUGGUCAGGAGUUGUUGUCUGUGCUUAUGUUGAACACGAAAGAAAAGCUAAUGGGACAAAGGAGUGUAAAGAAUGUGUUUUCGUUGUGCAAGAAGCUGGGAUCCUGCUUUAUAAUAGACAACCAGAGAUCAUGCAGAUUGUAUUUUUUUUCUCAACUCUGAAUACUGGGAACCUGUGCCUUGGAUUUGUGCUAGAAACGUGACCUGGGUGUGGGAAGAGAUUGCACAUGGAGCCCAACAUGUGUUUUAUUCAUUUUUGUAUUGUGUAGCAGAUGAGCAAUGGAAAAUCACUACAAACGCUACAUUUUGUCACAAAUCAGCAAGCUCUGCCCAGGUGCUGAAACAAAAAUGGUCUGGCUCCUAAACUUAUAUUCCAGCGUUUCAAAUAAAGAUACCAAGAGAACAAAGAAAAAUUGAUAAUAUGAAACUUCUGAUUGCACAUGUAGUCUCUUCAGGAGGAGUCUGGAGCACGGCAGUGAGACUGGAGUGGCAGCCGCAGAGAGGAGGGUCACAGCUCAGGCAAGGCAAGCACAGCAGCCGUGUUGGAUCUAGCUGGAGAGAUAGUAUGCCAUGCAGUGUUGAAUGGACUAGCAGCUUUAUAAUAAACUAUUACUGCAGGUUAUGGGA